rnacentral:rRNA from 1 species
UCUUACGGCCAUAUCACGUUGAAAGCACCGGUUCUCGUCCGAUCACCGAAGUUAAGCAGCGACGAGCCUAGUGAGUACUUAGAUGGGUGACCGCUUGGGAAACCUAGGUGCUGUAAACG